rnacentral:rRNA from 1 species
AGCUCCAAUAGCGUAUAUUAAAGUUGUUGCGGUUAAAAAGCUCGUAGUUGGAUUUCUGUUGAGGGUGGUCAGUCCGCACUUUGUGCGUGUAUUUGAUUCAGCCUUGGCAUCCUCCUGGGGAGCGUGUCUGUACUUAAUUGUAUGGGGCGUAAUUCAGGACUUUUACUUUGAGGAAAUUAGAGUGUUCACGGCAGGCGUUUGCCUUGAAUAUGUUAGCAUGGAAUAAUAAUAUAAGACCUCGGUUUUAU